AGACUUCCGGAGGCGGCGCCAACAGUAAUGGCGAUCUCCUCAUAACUCUUGAGGAGAGGCUCCGCGGAAACUGGGUCGAUCCGCUACGGCGCAGCGGAGACCCUUCCGAAACCCGCAGGCGGAGGAAGCCUGCGGUCGUGGGACUCGGCGGGUGCCUGGAGCGCGCCCCUGAACGGCAAAGGAACCCCGCGAGGGGCUCCGAGCAGGACGGGGGUAGCGCGGCACUGUGAGUCGUCUGCUACUUUCGCGGAGUGAAGCCGUGCAGCUGUUGCUGGAGAGCGCUGACCUUUCUUCCUUGACAAUUCGGCUGUCAAAAGUACAACCCGUGAGUAGGUUUCACGCUAUAAGGAUUAACAAAAAAUUUUAAACUUAUUCGGCUGAAGCGGGAAUGGUGUAAAAAGGAAGUCCACCUCCCGGUCUGCACAGAGAAUAAAGCAAAGACUGUGUGAGUUCGAUACCAAUGAAUGCCAAAAAGACUGAAACACAGACUUCUAAUGUAAAAUUUCCCCCCCCAUAAUUGGAUUAGGGGGGGAAGAAGAGAAAGUAUUUCUUUUUAUUUAUUGUUAUUUCUGAGUAACUUAAAGACUUAAUUUACUGUUAUUUCUGAGUAACUUAAAGAGCAAAUAAGAAAAUAAAAGACCACCUCUCAAUCCCUGGGGACAGACUGCCAGGCUUUGGAAGAUUGGACACUUUGUUAGCACUCUAAAUGGACAAUGUAUCUUUUUGCCUUUUAACUUUACAAAAUUGAAACUUUGGGACAGUUUUACAACUUUGGGAAAAAGUUGCCUCUUUGGCUGUUUGAGAGUCUUUAUUUUUGAUACUUUAUUACUUGUGUCCCCUGGAGGCCAAAAGGGAAAAAGCCUUUAAUUGACUGAGGAAUUUUCCACCUAACAGCAGCCUGGGAAAGUACAAUAACAAACAAUUUUGACUGUGAGAGUGACCUUGACUUUUAGAUAAAGUGCCAUGGAAGGAAGAGAUCUGAGGUCUGGGAAAGGCAGGCAGCAGAGCAACAUUGCACAACAGCAACAGCGUAGGCAAUCCAUAGCUGGACCACAAGGGGAGGAAGAAGGAUUGGCCAGUUUAUUUAAAAUUGUGAAUGAAGGUUUUGAAAAAUUGGGUCAACAAAAUGCCGAGGCUCUAGAAGCCAUUAGACAAAACUCUGCAAGUAUUGACAAGUUGACCCGACAGACUAAUGAAAAUACAGAUGUGAUUAAAAACUACUGGAACAAUCUGCUGAAACUCAAAAAACAGCUUUGGAAGCCAGAGAAAAGGCGGUAGCUGCUGAAGAAAAACUACCACCUUUAAUUAAACAAGUUCAAGAGCACCACAUAAGAUUGGGAACGCACCAGGAAUUGUUAUCUCUUCUGGAGUUAAAGGAGAAACAGACCAACUUAAGGAUCAGAGCAGUACCUGAGAUUGAAAAAGAGAGCCUGGCAGACUUUCUGACGCAAGAAUUUGCCAACUUUUGGCAAUUGAAUGAUAAGGAAGAUUUCAAGAUAACGUCUGCUUUUAGGCUCGGAAGAAGAGCAAGGAAAAAUAGAGUGAGAGACUGCCUGAUUACCCUGCGAUCAAAAGAGGAACGAGAUAAAAUUUUGAGCCUACAUUAUCAAAAUACACUGACAAUACAAGACUCAAGGAUAGAAAUAUUUAAAGACAUUCCAAAGCUUCUUUUGGAGCUUAGGUCUAACUAUCGAGACCUGGUGACGUUGCUGAGAGGAAACAGAAUUUUUUUCAGGUGGGAGUUCCCUCAAGGCCUAUCUUUCAGUUUUAGAGGCAAAAAAAUUAAAAUUAAAUCUGUGGAGGAGAAACAGAACUUUUUGAGAGACUACCAAGAAGACCUGCAAAAAGGAUUGGAGCCAGAAGCCCCUUCAAUAGGAUUGGAUCUUACAUUACCACCGUUGGGAGAGGAUAAGACAGAGAAGCCGAAACCACCAACAGAGGAAGAAGAGUUAUUGGGAGCAGUUGGAGGGAAAUAAAGAAAUCAUCAUGGCUCUGCAACUUUUAACUUGGAAUGUUUGUGGUCUGAAUUCUCCGGAAAAAGAAGGAAAGUAUUUCAUAUACUUAAAAAGAACAAUUGGACUUAAUUUGCUUACAGGAAACCCAUGUGACGAGGCUCCAUAGGAAAAUAUUGAUUAAUAAGAGACUGGGCCAAGAAUUUAUCUCAUCAGACAAAGUUAAAAACGAGGAGUGGUAAUUUACGCAAAGGAGAGCCUCUCACCAAAAUUUGUCUUUAAGGAUGAACAAGGAAGAUUUAUAGCAAUUGAAAUUCAAGUACAAGGAGAAAAAUUUUUGAUAGUAGGUGUAUAUGCACCAAAUGAGGGGAAAUCUAUAUUCUACAAAAAGUUGCAUGAGACCUUGAUGGACUAUAUGGACUAUAAUACUGUUUUCAUGGGAGAUAUGAAUGGGGUGGUUUCUACAAAUAUGGACAAGUCACAAAGAGAGGUAGUUACUAAAGAUGGUAGACUACCGAAAACAUUUUUGAACUAACUGACAAUAUGGAUUUGAUUGACAUUUGGAGAACUAAGAACCCCUUGAUAGAGAAGGAACCUUUUUUUCUGAAGCCCAGAAGACAUGGACAAGAAUUGACCAAAUCUGGACUACUAGAGGACUGGCACCCAAGGUUAAGAAGGUAGAGAUCUGCCCAAAAACAUGCUCCGACCAUAACGCCGUGAGAAUGGAGAUGAAGUUAACAUCUAUCGGUUCCUUCCGAUGGAGGAUGAAUGACACCUUGUUUAGAGAUCAAGAGGUGAUUAAGAAGGCCCAAAAGACAUUGAGGGACUAUUUUGAGAUAAACUUGAAUACAACUGUAGAAAAAGAGUAAUCUGGGAUGCAAGCAAAGCUGUUAUGAGGGGCUUCCUGAUUCAACAGAAUUCAAUUAAGAAGAAGGCCCAAAACGC
rnacentral:lncRNA from 1 species